GUGCUGAUUACAUUGCAUUUGAUUACAGCAGCCAAAGACGUGUCCAGAGGAAAAGAGACUUUUAAAGAUUAGUCUUGCAGUAAGAAUGGUUGCUUAACAAAUUCAGACUACUAGGCUACACCAAUCACCAAUUAAGAAGCAAGGAAAAUGAGUGUGAGUCAUUUUCCUUAAUUCUUAAUGUGUUGAAAAUUCCAACACUGCUAAGGUCAUUCAGGGAAUCGAGGCUCAAUUUGAAGAAACUGAAGAAUUGAAGUCUAUGAUUAAUAUGAAUGAACCAAUUAUCUAAGAGAAGAUUUCAAAGCUGAGAACACACUAAUUCCACACAACCUGAAGUGGAAUCUGCUAAGAUGUCUCAUAACUAAUAAAAAGACUCUGGGGAGCAAAUUCUCAGAUCCUGUGAGAAUAUGAAGUGUCUGAGUCCAUGGUGCUCCUCUCAUUACUCACUGGCAGGCCCUUUGGGGAGAACGUUCCCACUCUUGCAUGCAGUUGAGGCAGCAGCAUCCGGGUGAAUGUCACCAACUCUCUUGGACAUAAUCAUGUUCAUCUCCUUGGUCUCUCUGGCCCACAGCUCCAUCUCCUCAACCACGGAUCACCCUCCCCACACCCACAGCCUGGACGCCACCUUGGGGCAGCCUUACUCGCCUCCCCUCUCCCACAGCCUGAACGCCACCUUGGGGCGGCCUCACUCACUUCCCCUCUCACCCACAGGCCUUCACUACCUGACUUUCAAAGUCUUAAGAACCAUCAUUCCACAUAUUUUCUCCAGGAACAGGGGCAAGUCUAGUGCCUGUUAUUCCAUCUCGGCCAGUAACUGAGGGACAAAUGCAGCAGAGCUAAGGGUGUCCACACAGAAGCUGAGCACUGUGUUUUGAUCCCAAUUCUGCCGUUCAACUCUGCAGUGUUUUGCCUGUCUCCUUUUAGCCUCUGUUUCCUCAUUUCUAACAUGAGGUAAAAGAAGUUCCUGCCUUAGCAGGUUUCUAUGAGGACUCAAUGAGCCAAUAUGUCUGAAGCACUCAGCAUAGCAUCCAGCAGACACCAGGCACUGCACAGAACUCAGCCUACUCAGCCAAACAUCAGCUCCCUGCACCCAGUGCUCUUCCCGUCUCAGAAAUAAACGCAUAACAUAUGAGCAGAAACUGGAAAACAAAUAUCUUCAAAACGUGACUUCCUAGAAGACUCACUCAAAUGCACAAUAGAAAUCUUUCUUCUGUGUUUGACCAUCACCUUUAAGAUAAUAUCCAAGCAAAACCAUAUUACAACUCAGUGAUUUAACAUCUACUGGAAACCUGGUGAAGAUGAAGAGAACACACUUUUCUGGUCCCCUUUGCUACCCGCAAUUUCCCUUCCUCUAUUCAAUGGCAAGCUGCCAGGUGCUGCAGGAGAGGGCAGUGCUGUCACUCCCCUAAUCAGUUAGGAAGCCCUCCAUGGAGCCUGGACCGCCCCUAGGUCAGUGUCAGGGCCUCAGGUGAGCACAGACAGGAGAACAUGUCCAUUCCAUCAAUAGACCAGGUGUCAACAUCCUCUCUGUACAAAGCAUCAUGCUAGCAUUUGUAUGUAUGCAGCGUUUAAGUACCACCCUUCCACAAGUUUAAAUUCAGCUGAGGAAACCACAUGAGACUCCUAAAAAUAUGAAAGAGUAUCUGAGUUCUUAAAAAAAAAAAAA
rnacentral:lncRNA from 1 species